rnacentral:rRNA from 1 species
AGAUUAAAGAUUUAUCGGUGAUGGAUGGGGAUGCGUCUGAAUUAGCUUGUUGGCGGGGUAACGGCCCACCAAGGCGACGAUCAGUAGGGGUUCUGAGAGGAAGGUCCCCCACAUUGGAACUGAGACACGGUCCAAACUCCUACGGGAGGCAGCAGUGAGGAAUAUUGGUCAAUGGGCGAGAGCCUGAACCAGCCAAGUAGCGUGCAGGAUGACGGCCCUAUGGGUUGUAAACUGCUUUUAUAAGGGAAUAAAGUGAGAGUCGUGACUCUUUUUGCAUGUACCUUAUGAAUAAGGACCGGCUAAUUCCGUGCCAGCAGCCGCGGUAAUACGGAAGGUCCGGGCGUUAUCCGGAUUUAUUGGGUUUAAAGGGAGCGUAGGCCGGAGAUUAAGCGUGUUGUGAAAUGUAGAUGCUCAACAUCUGCACUGCAGCGCGAACUGGUUUCCUUGAGUACGCACAAAGUGGGCGGAAUUCGUGGUGUAGC